rnacentral:rRNA from 1 species
AUGGAUAAGCAUUUGAAGGCACUCGCACCGGUCUAUUUGGGAACUAAAUUCGUCAAGCUUGAUGCCGAAAAUGCUCCCUUCUUUGUGGCAAAACUAGCAAUCAAAACGUUGCCAUGUGUUAUAUUGUUCAAGAAGGGUAUUGCUGUUGAUCGGUUGGUUGGUUUUGAUGACCUUGGAAGUAAAGAUGAUUUUUCUACCAGGGCUUUGGAAAAUGUACUGAAGAGGAAAGGUAUAAUUGAGGAAAAGAAGAAAGAUGAUGAUGACGAAGAUGAUGAAACUGACAUGUCAAAGGAUAGGAGGUUCUCAAAAGCUUCUUUAUGA